GAUAGCUCAGCUGGUAGAGCAGAGGACUGAAAAUC
rnacentral:tRNA from 3 species